AUUGAACGCUGGCGGCAUGCUUUACACAUGCAAGUCGAACGGUAACAGGUCUUCGGAUGCUGACGAGUGGCGAACGGGUGAGUAAUACAUCGGAACGUGCCUAGUAGUGGGGGAUAACUACUAGAAAGAGUAGCUAAUACCGCAUGAGAUCUACGGAUGAAGGCAGGGGACCUUCGGGCCUCGUGCUACUAGAGCGGCUGAUGGCAGAUUAGGUAGUUGGUGGGGUAAAGGCUUACCAAGCCUGCGAUCUGUAGCUGGUCUGAGAGGACGACCAGCCACACUGGGACUGAGACACGGCCCAGACUCCUACGGGAGGCAGCAGUGGGGAAUUUUGGACAAUGGGCGAAAGCCUGAUCCAGCAAUGCCGCGUGCAGGAUGAAGGCCCUCGGGUUGUAAACUGCUUUUGUACGGAACGAAAAGCCUGGGGCUAAUAUCCCCGGGUCAUGACGGUACCGUAAGAAUAAGCACCGGCUAACUACGUG
rnacentral:rRNA from 1 species